UAGGCUUAGGCCUUGUUUGUGAAUGUAAUGCAAUUAACAGUUGUCUCAGUGAGUUCUCGGUGGCCUUGGAUGAUCACAGCUGGAGCAGCAGGCGGAGGAGCAGUGCUACUUGUGCUCAUCAUAAUCGCAAUUAAUCUUUUUAAACGUCAAGCUGUUGAAGAAGUAACCUAUGCAUCAAUUAUUUAUAGGUCACACAACUCCCAUGAGAGCAACGUUCUUGUGCAUAACAACAUUGACGGCUCCACUGAAGACUCGGUUCAUGUCAUUUCAGAUACUGUCUUAUACUCCACGGUCAAGAGAGGACAUUAAAAGAAUUAAAAUUCAGAAUUAUCCAAAUGAAAGCUUUAGGACAAAGUCAAAGCAAUUUUUUUUUCUGUUCUCCAGCUUUUUCACUGCAUUUCUGUUUAAUAUUGCAACAACUUGAUCUAAAGGAGUGAAACAAAUUUAGUCAGGUUGCGCUGGGAAAGCACAAUUAAAGUUAGCUCAUGCAAACCUAUUGCCU